ensembl:sense_intronic Gm28096 predicted gene 28096
AUCUGACAAGCCAUACUGAACAGCAUGUCUUUCUGUGAGCCAAUAACAGUCAUAUUGGAAAAUCAACAAGGGAAAUGGAGAGGGAGAGAGCCAGCAUCUAUGGCACUCACGCCCUGGGCCCUGGGCCAGUGUGAACAAGGUUUUCCGGUCCUGGCCAAAGGAAGCCACAGCCAGGCCUGGCAGGCUCUGAAACCCCACCACAGGCUUAGUUCCUCUUUCUGUUGCUCUUUGGAGCCUGCAGCAGAUAGACUGACCUUAUCAGCCUUAUCAAAGUACUCCAGGCCAGAAGAAUAAUUGUCUGGUCCUUGGAGCUCUUGAGGCGGGGGAGAUCUUGUAAACAAACAGAGUCCACAUAGAGGCAGUGGGGGAGGGUCAAAGGAAAAGAAUCCUUGACAUUUUAGAGAUGGGGCCAAGAUUAAAAGGACACCAGGCCCAGCCCCUAUUGGCUGCUUCUGUAACGACUGACAAAUGCAUGCAGCUUCACUGGAUGCCAAGGCUUUUCUUUAAAUAUCGCUGGGAGCUGGGGCAUUCCCAGGGUGGUGUUGGCUUGAUCCAGGCCUAAUCCCUGCCCAGGGUUGACCUUUCACAGUUUACAGAGCACUUUAUCUCCUGGCUCUGUGGAGUUUCACAAACUCUCUCAGAGAAAAGAGCUUUAUCAUCACCCCAAUUCCCAGGCGAGGAAAUUGAGGAUCCAAAAGCAAGCGAGCAUCUCCCCAAUUCACAGCUCCAAGCAGUGGGGGCUGGGAAGACAGCAUAUACAUACAUACAUAUAUAUAUAUCCUGGCAGCAAAUGCCAACCUCUUCCUAUCCCCUUAGAGUCUUCC